UAUGUGAUCGUCUCUCGCAUAUCAAUAAGCGGAGGAAAAGAAACUAACAAGGAUUCCCCUAGUAACGGCGAGUGAAGCGGGAAGAGCUCAAAUUUGAAAUCUUAAAGGGUUUCCCUUUACGAAUUGUAGUUUAAAGAAGUGUUUUCUGUUGAGGUUUUGGUAAAAGUUCUUUGGAAUAGGACAUCAUAGAGGGUGAGAAUCCCGUAUUUGACCUUUACUUUCAACUUUGUGAUACACUUUCAAAGAGGUCGGAUUGUUUGGGAAUGCAGUCCAAAAUGGGUGGUAAAUUUCAUCUAAAGCUAAAUAUUGGCGAGAGACCGAUAGCGAACAAGUACCGUGAGGGAAAGAUGAAAAGAACUUUGAAAAGAGAGUUAAACAGUACGUGAAAUUGUCAAAAGGGAAGCGUUUGACACCAGUGUUGUUUUUCUGAAAAUCAAUUAAAGAACUGUUUAUGCUAAGUUGUUUAGACUUUAUCAGCUAUCUGUUUAGUUUUGAGCUUUUCUUUAAUGCACUUUUCAGUUAACAAGUCAACAUCAAUUUCUUUUGCUGUAAAAAAGCUUGAGGAAGGUGGCUUGAGAUUCGUCUUAAGUGUUUAUAGCCUCUUGCCUAUGCAGUCGGAGAGAUUGAGGUCUGCAGCGUAGAUCCUUCGGGGCUAAAUGCAUUUGUGCUAAGUUAUAACAUUUUAUAGACAACUUGUUGACUAUGAUUUGUCUUGUAGCUUACUCGCUUAUGUUAUUUUACCUACGCUUAGGAUGUUGAAGUCAUCGUAUCGCGC
rnacentral:rRNA from 1 species